rnacentral:rRNA from 1 species
UACGUAGGGGGCAAGCGUUGUCCGGAUUUAUUGGGCGUAAAGAGCGUGUAGGCGGCUGGGUAGGUCCGUUGUGAAAACUCGAGGCUCAACCUCGAGACGCCGAUGGAAACCCUCCAGCUAGAGUCCGGAAGAGGAGAGUGGAAUUCCUGGUGUAGCGGUGAAAUGCGUAGAUAUUGGGAGGAACACCAGUGGCGAAGGCGGCUCGCUGGACCGGAACUGACGCUGAGGCGCGAAAGCGUGGGGAGCAAACAGG